AAUAUUGGUCAAUGGACGAAAGUCUGAACCAGCCAUGCCGCGUGCAGGAAGACGGCCCUACGGGUUGUAAACUGCUUUUAUAUAAGAAUAAACCCCCGAACGUGUUCGGGGCUGAAGGUAUUAUAUGAAUAAGCACCGGCUAACUCCGUGCCAGCCGCCGCGGUAAUACGGAGGGUGCAAGCGUUAUCCGGAUUUAUUGGGUUUAAAGGGUGCGUAGGCGGGUCUUUAAGUCAGUGGUGAAAUCUCUCAGCUCAACUGAGAAACUGCCAUUGAUACUGAAGACCUUGAAUUUAGUUGAAGUUGGCGGAAUGAGGCACGUAGCGGUGAAAUGCAUAGAUAUGCCUCAGAACACCGAUCGCGAAGGCAGCUAACUAAACUAACAUUGACGCUGAGGCACGAAAGCGUGGGGAGCAAACAGG
rnacentral:rRNA from 1 species